UCCGUCUAAAUAAUCAACACCAUUACAAAUAUAGAAGUUAAUACUAUGUAUAAUUUUAAAAAAUAGAUAAAUAAAAACAAACGAUGAUACAAAUUACAAAUUAGUACUAUAAUUUUGAGAUAUUAUAUAUAAAAACAAUAUGCAUCAACUCAAUGUUACCAUUUUUAUUCCUUUGAAUAUUGUGCUAUUCAUGACGAAGACAG
rnacentral:lncRNA from 1 species